CAGCCGCCACGGUAAUACGAAGGGUGCAAGCGUUACUCGGAAUUACUGGGCGUAAAGCGUGCGUAGGUGGUGGUUUAAGUCCGUUGUGAAAGCCCUGGGCUCAACCUGGGAAUUGCAGUGGAUACUGGGUCACUAGAGUGUGGUAGAGGAUAGUGGAAUUCCCGGUGUAGCGGUGAAAUGCGUAGAGAUCGGGAGGAACAUCAGUGGCGAAGGCGACUAUCUGGGCCAACACUGACACUGAGGCACGAAAGCGUGGGGAGCAAACAGGAUUAGAUACCCCCGUAGUCCCUGUCUCUUAUCC
rnacentral:rRNA from 1 species